AAUUAAUAUUGGUAUAAUCCUAUCUACUAUCUAUAAUCGAAUCAUCGAUCGGAUCCAGCUAUAGCUCCUUCGUUCCGUCGACAAAAGGAAUGCAGACAGUGGACAAGGGAAGACGAAAGUACAGCAAUUUGUGUACCCUCGAAAGCACCCAACACAAACUACAUGACAAUUUCAUUUUCCUAUAUUUUAUCAACAACUUGUUAUCCAUUUUUUGGAAAUCAAUUCCGCCCCACAACACAACACAUCCGUUUUGUUUCAUAAACCUGCAUCAAAGGGUACGCCACUCCCAGGAAUCCACGAGCCCCCAGCCAAGAAACUUCCAACGGUGAAUUUCACAGCCUCAGUACUGGAGAUCACGCGAAACCCUUCCCAUUUCACCCUCCCUCCUGUGCCUGCACCUGCUCCUGUAUUCCCAUAUUCAGCGUAAUAGAGGGUGCUUAGAGCAAAGUUUCCACUCCACGGAAACCAACCUGCAGUACAAACAUACAUUCAUACAUUUUUACUCCUUCAACAACCGGAAUGCAGCUAGCUUAUUAAAGAAUAAUAGAUAGAUAGCUAUAUAUGUUAUUAGAGUAUGAAAGAAUUUGGUGGACCUGCGGGGCUAAUCAAGCUAUCAAGGGCACUCUUCAUGAAAACAGUCCUUGAGUACUUUUGCCAUGGGCGACCUAGAAAGGUUCUGAAAGAGCCCUGCACUGCUUUCAAAUCCCCAGCUGCAGUUAUACGACAGUUAUGGAUGAUUAUCCCUGUGUUCUCGUUAGGGUCGGUUCUUCCUUGUGCCGUCACCGUGUUCAGCUGGUUGCUCAUCGGUUUCCUCACAUAGAUGUUGCAGUUUUGAAGCACCGUCACUGCGUCACCGAAAAUGAAGUCUAUGGUUCCGUAUAUGUCACAGUCACGGUAGAAUUGACGGUUGGCGUAAACGUAUAAGGUGUCUUGGUAACCCUUAAAGCUGCACCGGUAGAACACCGACUGGUCGGCGCCGGAACGGACAGCCACCGCUUGGUGCUUUUGCGGUCCCGCUGUGUUCUCGAAGGUUAUGUCCCGAGCGAUGAACCCGUCACCAUCAACCGCUGCAACAGUAAUCGACGGUUUUUAACUUUCAAGACAAUUGUUGAGUUGGUAGAAAAAUAUUAUAUAUAGAUGCAAAGGUAAAACUCUUUUAUUUGUCUAUAUCUAUCAUGGAAGAGAUAUUUUCACCGAGUGUAAAGUGAAAAGUGAAAAUAUCUCGGCCACCACUUUUGUUGACGUACUUUUGAAAUAAAGAAAUAAUAUAUGCUUUGGGUUUAUUAUAUUGUU